rnacentral:rRNA from 1 species
UACGUAGGGGGCAAGCGUUAUCCGGAUUUACUGGGUGUAAAGGGAGCGUAGGCGGCUUAGUAAGUCAGAAGUGAAAGCCCGCGGCCCAACCGCGGGACUGCAUUGGGAACUACCGGGCUGGAGUGCCGGAGAGGUAGGCGGAAUUCCUAGUGUAGCGGUGAAAUGCGUAGAUAUUAGGAGGAACACCAGUGGCGAAGGCGGCUUACUGGACUGUAACUGACGUUGAGGCUCGAAAGCGUGGGUAUCGAACAGG